rnacentral:rRNA from 1 species
UAACCCUACGGGAGGCAGCAGUCGGGAAUAUUGCGCAAUGGAGGAAACUCUGACGCAGUGACGCCGCGUAUAGGAAGAAGGUUUUCGGAUUGUAAACUAUUGUCGUUAGGGAAGAAAAAAGACAGUACCUAAGGAGGAAGCUCCGGCUAACUACGUGCCAGCAGCCGCGGUAAUACGUAGGGAGCGAGCGUUAUCCGGAUUUAUUGGAUGUAAAGGGUGCGUAGACGGGUUAGCAAGUUAGUUGUGAAAUCCCUCGGCUUAACUGAGGAACUGCAACUAAAACUGUUAAUCUUGAGUGCAGGAGG